rnacentral:rRNA from 1 species
CAGCCUGAUGCGCCAUGCCGCGUGUAUGAAGAAGGCCUUCGGGUUGUAAAGUACUUUCAGCGGGGAGGAAGGGAGUAAAGUUAAUACCUUUGCUCAUUGACGUUACCCGCAGAAGAAGCACCGGCUAACUCCGUGCCAGCAGCCGCGGUAAUACGGAGGGUGCAAGCGUUAAUCGGAAUUACUGGGCGUAAAGCGCACGCAGGCGGUUUGUUAAGUCAGAUGUGAAAUCCCCGGGCUCAACCUGGGAACUGCAUCUGAUACUGGCAAGCUUGAGUCUCGUAAAGGGGGGUAGAAUUCCAGGUGUAGCGGUGAAAUGCGUAGAGAUCUGGAGGAAUACCGGUGGCGAAGGCGGCCCCCUGGACGAAGACUGACGCUCAGGUGCGAAAGCGUGGGGAGCAAACAGGAUUAGAUACC